rnacentral:rRNA from 1 species
UGGGGAACUUUGGACAAUGGGCGAAAGCCUGAUCCAGCAAUGCCGCGUGUGUGAAGAAGGCCUUCGGGUUGUAAAGCACUUUUGUCCGGAAAGAAAUCCUUGGCUCUAAUACAGUCGGGGGAUGACGGUACCGGAAGAAUAAGCACCGGCUAACUACGUGCCAGCAGCCGCGGUAAUACGUAGGGUGCAAGCGUUAAUCGGAAUUACUGGGCGUAAAGCGUGCGCAGGCGGUUUGCUAAGACCGAUGUGAAAUCCCCGGGCUCAACCUGGGAACUGCAUUGGUGACUGGCAGGCUAGAGUAUGGCAGAGGGGGGUAGAAUUCCACGUGUAGCAGUGAAAUGCGUAGAGAUGUGGAGGAAUACCGAUGGCGAAGGCAGCCCCCUGGGCCAAUACUGACGCUCAUGCACGAAAGCGUGGGGAGCAAACAGGAUUAGAUACCCUGGUAGUCCACGCCCUAAACGAUGUCAACUAGUUGUUGGGGAUUCAUUUCCUUAGUAACGUAGCUAACGCGUGAAGUUGACCGCCUGGGGAGUACGGUCGCAAGAUUAAAACUUAAAUGAAUUGACGGGGUCAUAGCUGUUUCCU